rnacentral:rRNA from 1 species
UACGUAGGGGGCAAGCGUUGUCCGGAAUCAUUGGGCGUAAAGCGCGUGUAGGCGGCCCGGUAAGUCCGCUGUGAAAGUCGGGGGCUCAACCCUCGAAUGCCGGUGGAUACUGUCGGGCUAGAGUGCGGAAGAGGCGAGUGGAAUUCCUGGUGUAGCGGUGAAAUGCGCAGAUAUCAGGAGGAACACCAAUUGCGAAGGCGGCUCACUGGUCCGGUACUGACGCUGAGGUGCGAAAGCGUGGGGAGCAAACAGG